AGCGCCAGUCCUAUGGUCCAUCAUCGGUUAACGUGUUAGUAGAAUCAGAAUCACACUGCUCGAUAAAAGGAAAUCAAUUCGGCGGUGUUGGCAGGCCUUUAUUCAACCUCUUCAUGGAAUAUUCAGAAGGAGCAAUAAUCACGGCGGCGGCAACAACCUUGCCAGUUCCGAUUGAAACCCAAGCUACUAUUCCGUCAACGAAUGCACCACUGCUAUCUGCGACAAGCAGCAUGAAGUCCACAGCUCCAAACGGUUUAACAACUAUUCAUGGGCCUUCGUCUACAAGGCAGAUAUUCCCUCGAUUUACGAAGGAAAGGAACACGCUAGCUUUCUCUACCUCAGCGACUAUGGAACGACUUGCAACCUUUUCCCACUUCGAGCCCUCAGAAGAGGACCCUUCAGCACUCGGCCGUAGAGCUAUAAUCGGGAUUUCCGCGUCUGCUGGAACAGUUCUGGUUUUAUGUGUGAUAUAUUCAGUUGUGUGGAAAUACAGAAUGACAACCAGACGUUCUAGGUCCAGUGAAGAUUUUGAUAAAGAGCAUCAACACAGCAACAAGACGGCAGAAGAAACUGGCAUAUACGAAACAGUGAUUGGUGAGCGGCUCGAUCAGAUGGCUGUACCAAUGACUGUACAGACACCAACAGAGUCUGCCGUUCCUAUGUACGAGAGCACAGCUUACAUGAGCACUACGAAGAAAUCCUGUCAACUCACCUCGAAUGAUGCCUAUGGAGCGACGUCGGACAUGUUCUAACAUACUCGGGCGAGUCUGAUGAAUGAGAGCGCUACUUUCAUGGUGGUCGAGCUCAGGUGUCUCAUAAGGAUCUGUCAGACAGAAUUUCCUCAUCCGGCGGAACUCUAGGACUGCUAACUCCACGGACAACACGAUGUAGCAGAUUUUGACAGACUUGCAGAUGCGAGUUGGUCUAACACUACUCCCAAAUGCAAACUACGCAGUGAGCUACGCAUUGUGCAGCCUCUACGUUACGCUCUCGCCAGUUGAUCAGCUAUCUAGGCACCAGGAUGUGAUGCAAUGACGGAUGUUCACGUUCUGUUCCAUAUUAAAAUGAUGGCAUGUACCUCGCAUUUAUUCUAUGCUGGACACUAAUUUUCACAUAAACAUAUUCUAACCUGUCAUGCACUUCUUGCCAAUAAUAUGCUCCUUUCUUUCACUGCUAUGUCAUUUUUCUCACUUCAGUAGGCAAUAUUCCCGGCAAUAACCUAUUCAGAUGUUGAUGGCCGCAAACCUUUCAGCUUUACCUGAUACGUAUUGUAUUUGACAUAACCUUUUCAGAAGAUUCACUUUCUACAUUUUAGCAUUAUUUUCGCUUGCACGUGAAAAGCUUUAUAUUUGACUGAAGUGUUAUAUUUUGAACAACCUAGCCAAGUUCUUAUAGCUGAUUGUGUAGCAUACACUGUAGUACAUGUUAUUUUCUUCAAUGUUCAUUUCUAUUGCGAUCGCCUCAGUAAGAUUCUUUCAGGAAAGGUUAUUACAGGAAUACACCUAUAGUAUAAUGUACUGUAAUACGGAUAUGAGCACCGCGAGGAGUUUGCUUUUUUCUUAGUUCACUUGUCAUUCUGUCACCAAAUUACUUUCUUCGGCGCUUUCAAUCAUGUUCAUACUGGCCACUUUUACUUUCCACGUGCUUUACAAGACAUCAUUGAGCGUUCAUCCAUCCCAUAUAUACACGAUAGUCAGCUUACGAGGGUAGCUGUCGGCGAUAGAGUGCAUUGAUUGUAGGGAAG